UACGGGGGGGCAAGCGUUGUUCGGAAUUACUGGGCGUAAAGGGCUCGUAGGCGGCCAACUAAGUCGGGUGUGAAAGCCCCGGGCUCAACCUGGGAAUUGCAUUCGAGACUAAUAGCUAGGGUACGGUAGAGGGAAGCGGAAUUUCCGGUGUAGCGGUGAAAUGCGUAGAUAUCGGAAGGAACAUCAGUGGCGAAAGCGACUUCCUGGACCAAUACUGACGCUCAUGUGCGAAAAGCUAGGGGGAGCAGACAGG
rnacentral:rRNA from 1 species